CUGAAGCAUAUUGGUUCCAGAUUUUUCCUGAAACAGGCCUUCGGUACAUACACACCACCUCCACCACUCCAACACCCCCCACCUCCUUUUUUUUCCUCAGCACAGACCAAGACAGACAAUAGAGUUCUGGGUAACCUCCACACAUCUGGGAGCCAUUUCCUCCCCAAAGGACUCACUUCCUGUGGGCAGUCACUUAACAUGGAGGUGUUUCUACAAGAGGUCAUGGUGGGAUCAUAGCCAAAGGGCUUUGCUUAAAGAUUCCCUGCAGCAACUUCACAUUCUUUUGCAUGAGACAAGAAGACAACAGUGAAAGGUUUUUUUCUCUUUGAUCACAACACCUGGACGUCUCCCACAAAUCAAAAGAC